CCUGGUGAGCUGGACUCCUACGUACCCUCUAUCCAGUAGGACAAAAGGGCUGAGAAGACCAGGAUGGGUCAGAGCUGGCUACUACCGUUACUGGCCCCAGGGUGCCUACACUUGAGAGGUUCCUUCUCCCGUUACCCACCCUGCUGCGCCCAAUUGGGACGCACCCCGGCCACACCCCUCCUCCUCCAGAACCCAGGCCCCGCCCCUCUCACUAGAGCUCAAGGACACCUACAGCUGAGGUGCCCUGGCUCCGCCCCCUCCCGUAACCCUCCCUGUUGUGCCCAAUCCUAGCACUCCUGGGCUACACCGCUUCUCUUUCUGAACCCAGGACCCACCCCUCCCAUGAUCCCGACCCCGACCCCGGACACCCACGGCUGAAGAGCCUGGCCACAGGCCUCCUCUUCCUGUAGCCAGGCUCAACCCCCUCUGUCGACUUCCCCUGUUGUGCCCAAUCCUGGUGCUGCCAGGCUAUGCCCCUCCUCUUCAUCAACCCAGGCCCGCCCCCUGCAUGCCCCUCCCAUGGCCCAGCCCCAGGAUGCCCUUAGCUGAGGAGCCUGGCCACGCCCCUUCUCCUGUAGCCAGGCUCCGCCCCCUCCGACGACCUUACCAGUUGCACACCCUGCUCUCUGAAUCUUUCCCACCUCCUGACUAAAGCACUGCAGUCAGCCAUGCUUUAUGUCCAGCAGAGACCCUUCUGGAGGGGUCGCCACAGAGCGCUGCUUCAUCUCUCUCCUCAGCAGGCGAGGAGCCUCCUACUAUGACCUUGGCCGCCUCCCCUGGGCAGGUUGAGGUGUGAGCACCUGCGGGCCUCACCAACCCCAGGCCUCACCUUCCCGCCAAGCCUGCCCCAGGCGUCCCUCAUGCUGAGCAGCGUGAGUGUGAGGGGCAGCAGGAGAAGUCUGUUACCAACUCAUGCCAAGUAGAAUAACCAAGUAGAAGCUGUCAGGCUCCUUAAACCACUCUUGGUUAAGAAAGCAGUCUUGAGAACAUUUUGGAAGAAGCCAGUCCUGAAACUACUGUAGUCAUGGUAUGCAGACCACUACAGAGCUGUCUGCUCAGAGCUCUGUCAUUGGAAGUCAAGCUUCAGGACAUUCUGUUGCAUGGAAGGAGGGUAGAGCAGCCAAGGGUGUUGGAAGCCCAUGGACACUUUGAACUCUACACCAACUGUCUCAUCUUCACCUUGACCUGGUCAUGGAGCCUCUGAGCCAAGGCCACUCAGUUGAGUGUACACUGGUUUGUGUGGUACAAUGCCAUGUCUGCCUACACUCUCAUGCCUGUGGGAUCUGUGGGCAAUGCACAGCUCCCUGCUUGAUUCCUGGAUUUGUUGACUCCAGUUAAAAUCAUCUGAGGCCUCUCCACCAAGGCUCUCUUGCUCUGGGUCUCCUUAGGCCAUCCUUCAAUCUCCACUGGCCAUGUGGAUUCUCUCCCUUCCUCACUCACCCUCUUGCUGCUCAAGGCAGCUAUGAGUUCUGUAGAACACAGUCCUCCCCUGACCUCUCUCCACCUGCUUGUCUCUUCCCAUCCCCACCUUAGCAGGCCCCUCAGUUUCUUGGGGAAGUUACAUGGGACGUGUGUUCAUGCAUUCUAAAUCCCACCUUACUGACUCUAACUGCCAAUGUGUUUGCCCCUGGGGAUCCAUUGGGAAGUGAUGAGCUCUUCUAAAGGGGUAUCUUUAUUUCAUCUCUGUGUACCUGGAGGGAGGAAGGAGGAGUUGAGGAGGAGAAAUCAAGAAAGCAGGAGAAUAGAGCAGAGGACAAUAUAAGAUGUAACUAGACAGGAUCUUCUGACUGAGAAAAAAUAGAAAUGAGACCCAGGAGUCAGAGGAUUUGCUGCCAGAGGUGGAAUGGGGUGUGACUUGACAUCUAUUAUCUCAUCUGGCUCCUCCAUUUCCUUGCAGAGAGGGUGUACUAUCACAGAGGGAGGUGAAUUUAUCUUGGUGUACAGAAAAUCUGGUAGGUGGAGAUCAACUUCAUUGGAAGAUUUGCUUUUGGAGGUGGAAUGGGGUCAGGCUCAACCUCUUUUGUAUGGCUUUCUCUGUUCUUCCUUGGAUGAAAUGCAUGCUGCCACUUUGGGAGGUGGUUCUGUCUCAGUGGAUGGAGACUCAGCUGGUUGGAGAUCACAGCAGCCAGAAGAUAUGCUGUCAGAGGUGGAAUGGCAUCAGGCUGUACCACUUCUGAGUCAGGUGGCUCCUGGUGGUUUUGGAAACAAGUUCUGCUACCACACUGGGAGGUGAUUGUAUCUCAGUGAAAGGAUAAUCAGUGGCUAGAGAUCCACAGCAGCAGGAGGAUAUGCUGAAAGGAUUGUCCUAAGAGGACAGCCUGUAAUAUAAUUUAAUAUCCACAGAGCAGAAUCUAAUACUGUUAAUAUCCCCAUAGUAGUCUCUAAUAUUAAAUUUGUAUCCUCAGAGCAACCUCUAAUACUAAUGUAAUAGCCCCAGAAUGGCCUCUAAUAAUAAUGCAGUAUCCACAGUUUGGACUUUAAUACUAAUUUGGUAUACACAGAAUGGCUUCUAAUACUUAUUUAAUAGCCAAACUAUGACAUCUAAUACUAAUUUUAUAUCCACAGAGCAGCCUCUAGGACCAAUAUUCACAGAGUGGCCUUUAACACUAAUAUCCAGAGUGGCUUCAAAUAGUUAAUAUGUGCACAGCAGCCUCUAAUAAUUAUUUAAUAUCCGCAGAGUAGAAUAUAACAUCUACUGUUCAUAGAGUGGUGUCUAUUGCUAAUUUAAUAUCCCUGGAGAGGCCUGUACUAAUUUAAUAUCCAGAACAGCUUCUAAUACUGAUAUCCAUAUAGUGGCACGUAAUGCUACUUUAACAUCCACACAGUGAUGUGUGACACUAAUUUAGCACCCACAGGAUGGUGUCUAAUACUCAAUAUCCACAGAACAGCCUCUACUACAAAUUUAUAUCCAAAAGUGCCUGUAACAUGAAUGUAAUGUCCUCAGGGCAUUCUCUAAUACUUAUUUAAUAUCCAGAGGCAGCCUCUAAUACUAUUUCCACAAUGUUCUCUAAUACUCUCUGAAUAUCUCCAAAGCAGAAUGUGAUACUAAUUUAGAAUCUACACAACUACUUUUAAUACUAAUUUAACACUUUUUGCUGGCUUGAACUAUUGGUGGUACAUGCAUGACUGUCCCAUCAAGUGGCUUGAACCACCAGUGGUACAUGCAUGGCUGUCCCAUUGGGUAGCAUGGCUCAGUCAUGCACAUACAGCCCCUUUGUGUAUGUAUUAAUAUCCACACAGUGGCCUCUAAUAGUAAUUUAAUAUCCACACUGCUUCCUCAACUACUAAUUUAAUAUCCACAGAUUAGCCUAUUAUUGCUGUCCACACUUCAGCAUCUAAAACUAAUAUACACAGAAUGGCAUCAAAAUUAAUACAUUUACUCUGUGGCUCUUUUUUUUUCUCUGUGGCUCUUAAUACUAAUUUAAUAUCUACAUUGUAGCUGUGUAUUAGCAACAUGAUAUCACCCUGUGGCGUUCUAAUACUAAGACUUUCACACAGUGGCAUCUUCAUAUGAAUAAAUUAUUCACAUCCUGGCUCCUAAUAUUAUGAUAGUAUCCUCACCAUUGCCCUUUAUUAAUUAUAUACUAUUUAUUCUGUGGCUCAUAAUAUCCACACUGGGGACUUUUCAGGCUAAUAUAAAAUCUACAUAGCAGCUUUUUUUUUUUGGUACCAGGGAUUGAACUCGGGACCUUGCGCUUGUGAGGCAGGUGGUAGAACCACUGAGCUAAAUCCCCAGACCUAUAGCAGCAUUUUUUUGAGACAGCAUCUUACUAUGUAGUCUAGGUGCCCUAGAACUCAGGUCCUCUUCCCUUAGCCUCUCAAGUGUUUUGCAGAUGUAUUCCAUCAUGUUGGCUCCCAGUAGCAUCUUAAUAUAAUAUUAACACUGAGGCCUUUAGUGUUCAUUUAAUGUCCACAGUGUGGCCUGUAAUACUAAUUUUAUAGCCACACACAAACUAGUAGUACUAAUAUAUCUCCUGUGGUCUCUGAUACUAACAGUAUCCAUGCAAUGCCCUCCAGUACUCAUGUACAAUAAUACUCAGACAUUGCCUUAAGAUACUGAUAUACCAUCCAUACAGUUGUCUCUCAUUGUAAUAUCAACAGUGUGACCAUUCAUAAUGUUAUGAUAAUAUUCAGAGAGGGACAUUUCUAAUGUAAUGUCCACACAAUGUACUCUGCAUAUUAUAAUUUCCAGAGAGCAGCUGUUACAGCUUGUAUCUCAAUGUCUCUCCAAAGCUUCAUACACUAAUAGGUUGGGCUUUUCAGAGCUGGCCAGAUCUAGAGUAUGUGAUAAAGAGUAUGUAGUACUGGGCCAGGGAUUUAGCUCAGUGGUGCCACCACCUGCCUCACAAGCACACGGUCCUGAGUUCGAUCCCUGGUACCAAAAAAAAAAAAAAAGAGCAUGUGGUACUAAAUUAGUCCACUGAUUGGAAUUAGCAUGGUUCUGGGUGUGACAUGAUGGACAGGAUUGGAAUGGGGUGAGAUUCUGCCUCUGCUGAAUCCAGUCACUGCCAGUACACCUUGGUUGGAACAUCUGUUGCCAGUUGAGGAGUUUGUUCUCACUCAGUGGAUGAGGAUCUAGUGAUUGGAGCUCCUUCCCAGUGGGGCUCAGCCAUGGCCACUCUACCCGUGCCCUCAGACACAUCCCAGGCCUCCUCAUCCUCAGGCUCGGCCUCGCUGGUCACUAGGUCCUCCAGCUGGGUCAGGAAUCUGUACAUUUGGGGAGAAGUCAGCCCAGCAUGCUGAUCAGGAUGCAGGACAGAGCUGGUUAGUCUGGCCAGGUCUGGGGAUGGGCAGAAUUCUUCAGGGUAGUGAACACCCCACAUGCAUCUGGGCACUGCACAAAUAUAGGAGGCUCAUGUGAGCAGUGUGCUUCUCACUGCUUCUCUACAGACUUCAUACAGAAUCAUGAGGGCAUGUCUGACUGGGAUGGUCUGUGGUGGAGAGUCUAUCUUCACAGGGACCUGCUCUUCAUAGCCCCCAGAAGCCCCUGUGCUGCCUGUUGCCUGUCUUCCUCCUCAUGAAGGCAAAGCCCUAGCCCCCAUCCCUCUACUAGCAAUCAAGAACAUGUUGGGAUCUGGCAUUUCCCAGCCCCCCUGAACUCAGUUCCUCAAAUGUCCCCUACUCUGGAGACAGAAGCCUUCUUCUGUCUUGGCUCUAAGCCCACUCACUUCUUGAUGUACUCACACUCCUCACAGUCGGGGUGAAGGAAUUCAGACAUAGAGGUCAGGAGAGGGUGGCCUCCACAUCCUCUUGUAGCCCCCACCUGCCAGGCAGUCUAGGGGGACUGUCUUCUUCUCUGAUGAGAAUGGAAGCAGGAAAAGGCUGAGAGCUUUGCCUGUGUUUCUCCCUAAAUUAGGUGCCAAGUGACUGGAACCAUGCCUGCACAUGAUAGGUGCUUCAUAUACAUGUGCUAUAAAUUAAUCCUGCCAUCUGUCUCCUACCUAGAUAUCUCAGUGGGACCAGGGCCUCUCAUUCCACUCUGAUGGGGAGUCCCCACUCUAUAUUUAGGUAGGGAACUCCAGAGUUGGGAUUCAUUCAAAAAUGGGGAAAUUGGAUUGCCUGAGGACUCAGUUAAGUGAGGUGCAAAGAGCUUCUUCAUGGAGGAGGGGAGGUUCCAGAGCCCUGGGUCACUGACCCUGACAGACCCUGGCCUGGAGCAGGUGCUUCUAACUCUCAGCCCUCUUGGUCCCAAAUACAUGCUCAGAUGGUGAUCCUCAGAUCACCCCAGCUUUCACAGAGCAAAUUGGGACACAGAAAGGUGCAGAGCAUUCCAAGGGUCUGCCAGGAGGUAGCAAGUCCCCCUGGGCUUGGAUGUGGAGCACACCUUAGGAACAGCAGUUUUAGCACCUAUUGGGUAAUGGUGAGCUUGUAGGGGUAGGUGUACAGGAAUGUGGGCAUGAAGAAGAGGGUUGCCACUUCCAUGGUCAGGCACAAGGUGAUUCACCAGCUUCUGCACUGUGCCUGCCUUGAUGGUCUCCACCCUGUUGGGCUCAUAUGGCCUUGAGGCUGACUUAUCUUCACACUGGGGUGGGACUAAGGAGGCAGGGUUCAAGCAUGGGAACAGUAGCGUCUGUGUCUCUUGUGCAACCAUGAGUGCAAAGAUUCUUGUCUGUGGCCUGUGUGCAGGGUGGAGGGAUGGGUCUCCAGAGAACUCAGCAGAGGAAGGGCUUCAUGCAGAAGUUGUCGUUCACAGUGAUGACUGUUUCCACUGGACAUCCCUAAGAUAAUGUCCACACUGUGGCCUGGAGUAAGUGACGAGUUUUGUCCACUGUGGCCUGCAGUGCUAAAGUACUAUCCACAGAGUGGCCUCUGGUACUAGUAUCAAAGCAACAGAGGGCCCUGUGCUACUAACAGUGGACCCCUAAUAGUAAUAUGUGCACAGUGGUGCCUAAUACUAAUUUUAAAAGGUAAAGUAUGGUGAUGCAUUCCUGUAAUCCCAGCAUGCAGGAGGAUGAGACAGGAAGAUUUCAAGGCCACCCUGGGCUACAUAGUGAGACCCUGUCUCAAAAGAAAAAAGAAAAGUUUUAAAAGAUAUAACAAAGGUGUCCUCAACUGCUAAUGUAAAUUGUCCCUACAUUAGCUAAUCAAAUUUAUAUUUAACCCUAACCCAUGAUGGAUUUACUGAAGACAGAAGCUCUACCCUGGGUGUGGGUGGCACCACCCACAAAGUGGGUAGUGUGGAAGGGAUAAAAAGGAAAGGCAGGCUUGCUGCUUGCUGCCUUAUUCUUGCUAUGCUUUGAACUACUUCUCCUCUGCAUUGCCUCUCUGCCAUGCUACCCUGCCUCGUAACCAACUGACUUUUGACUGAAACCUCUACAAACUGGGAGCUGAAAUAAACCUUUUUUUUUUUAAACUUUGGGUGUUGAGUAUUUUGUCUCAGUAAUGAGAAAAGUACCUAAGAGAGUGGCAUCUAACCCUAACAAAAUGUGCACACAUUGGUGUUUCGUAUUAUUGUCAUUCAUUGUCCUCCUCAUUUUAAUGUAAUUUCCACACAGAAGGACAAUGGCUUUAUAGCCCUGGCUGGGCUGCAUUUUGGUAGGGUUAGUGUGACAGGUAAGGAUCGAGUGACACCUUGAUUGGCUUUAAGAUCUACCUAGAGGCUUGGUGGAACACAUUUCUUUGUCUCUGUGGGUCAUGAAGGUAUGACUUUGAUGUCUCUAUGUCAUCCUCACCCCAACAUCUUUGGCACUGUUCCCAUGCUCUGCUUCUUUGCUACCAUGAGGUAAGCAGCUUUUCUCUGCCACACACUUCCUCCAUGAUGUUGGGUCCUUGGGGCAGCCAACCAUGGACUGAAUCCUCCACAAAUAUGAGACAAAUUGAACCUCCCCUUCUUUAUGUUGUGGGUGUCAGAAGUUGUUUCUUCACAGUGAGAAAGCUCACUAGUACACUUACUUGCUAUAGUGAUGUUUGAUGUUUCUUUUUUUUUUUGGUAGCAGGGAUCAAACUUGGGUCCUUGCACUUGCGCAGCAGGCGGUGAAACCACUAAGCUAAAUCCCCAGCCCAUUUGAUGUUUCUUUUUUGGAAUAAUAAUGAUCAUAGAAAAAAUAUUUUAUUUCCCAAUGAUGUCAAACUUAUAGGACAUCCGCAAUCAUGUUAUGAGUACACCAUGAUUUAUCCACUCACCUUCUCCAGUGGUUAUUACCUUUCCUAAUUUGCAAAUCUGCAUGAAAAUGGCAGUGUAUUUUACCCACAGUAGAGGCAAACCCAGGUAACCACCACAGAGCACCCAUGUAAGGAGGUAAAAGGGUUUUGGUAUGAAUGUCCAGUCCAUGAUCCAACUUUAGUUUCACCACUUGUCUCACUUAGGAGAAGAAUUCUCUUUUCCAUUUGGAUCCAGUUUUCUUUUUGGAAACUUGUUGUGGGACUGUUUUCCAUUGCUAGGACCUUGUCAGAGAUAAUGAACAUGUUCAUUUUUGUUUGAAUAUAUAUCUUCUGUUCUUUUCUGUAUCUACUUAGGAAUGGAAAGGUUGAGUAGUAUACUAAGUCUAUAUUCUACAUUUGGAGGAAAUGCCAAAGUAUUUCACCCAGAGGCUGCACCAUGUGUGAGGUUUCUAGUUUCUCUGCUUCCUUACCAACACUUACUACCUGAAAUUGUAUUGAUGAUAGGUGCUGUAGAAGGAGUGAAGGAGACCCUCACUGUGGUCAUAGUUUGCAUUUGCUUAAUGGCUGAGAUGUUAAGCAUGUUUGUGUUUUCAUGUGGAAGGGGUGGGGUAUUUGUUUCACAUUCUGACUCUGGUAUUUGUCUGAGUCAUCAGUUCUCAGUGUCAACAUUCAUUGAGAUGAUGGCCCACAGGACCAUGGUCAUUCAGUUAAGAGAGGAAAAGUCACAUCCAGCUGUUGAAUUCUCUCAUUCCUAAGUUUGUAACAGCUGGACCUGCUGAGAGCACUCCUUGCCAUUCCCCAUGCUACAGAUCAUCAACAGCCUGUGUUAGUUACUUUUUGCUUUGCUGAGACAGAAUA